GACGAACGCUGGCGGCGUGCUUAACACAUGCAAGUCGAACGGUGAACCAGGGCUUGCCCUGGGGAUCAGUGGCGAACGGGUGAGUAACACGUGGGCAACCUGCCCCUGACUCUGGGAUAACUCCUCGAAAGAGGUGCUAAUACCGGAUACGACCACUUCGGGCAUCCGAUGGUGGUGGAAAGAAUUUUGGUCAGGGAUGGGCCCGCGGCCUAUCAGCUUGUUGGUGGGGUAACGGCCCACCAAGGCGACGACGGGUAGCCGGCCUGAGAGGGCGACCGGCCACACUGGGACUGAGACACGGCCCAGACUCCUACGGGAGGCAGCAGUGGGAAAUAUUGCGCAAUGGGCGAAAGCCUGACGCAGCGACGCCGCGUGAGGGACGACGGCCUUCGGGUUGUAAACCUCUUUCAGCAGGGACGAAGCGAAAGUGACGGUACCUGCAGAAGAAGCACCGGCUAACUACGUGCCAGCAGCCGCGGUAAU
rnacentral:rRNA from 1 species